UACGUAGGGCGCAAGCGUUGUCCGGAAUUAUUGGGCGUAAAGAGCGCGCAGGCGGUCGUUCAAGUCGAGUGUGAAAGCCCCCGGCUCAACUGGGGAGGGUCACUCGAUACUGAUCGACUCGAAGGCAGGAGAGGGUAGUGGAAUUCCCGGUGUAGUGGUGAAAUGCGUAGAUAUCGGGAGGAACACCAGUGGCGAAGGCGACUACCUGGCCUGUUCUUGACGCUGAGGCGCGAAAGCUAGGGGAGCAAACAGG
rnacentral:rRNA from 1 species